UACGAAGGUGGCAAGCGUUGUUCGGAUUUACUGGGCGUACAGGGCGCGUAGGCGGUUGGUUAAGUCCUCCGUGAAAUCUCCAGGCUUAACCUGGAAAGUGCAGAGGGGACUGUUCAGCUAGAGGAUGGGAGAGGAGCGCGGAAUUCCCGGUGUAGCGGUGAAAUGCGUAGAGAUCGGGAGGAAGGCCGGUGGCGAAGGCGGCGCUCUGGAACAUUUCUGACGCUGAGGCUCGAAAGCGUGGGGAGCAAACAGG
rnacentral:rRNA from 1 species